rnacentral:rRNA from 1 species
AUGGGGAGGUCGCCGUCCUGCAGCAGUGAGCCCCCCUUGAAGAAGGGCCCAUGGACGGAGGAGGAGGACAGGCUGCUCGUGGACUACAUCAAGUUGCAUGGCACCGGCGGCAACUGGCGAACCAUCCCCAAGCGCGCCGGCCUCAACCGCUGCGGCAAGAGCUGCCGCCUCCGUUGGACCAACUACCUCCACCCCGACAUCAAGCGCGGACCCUUCACCGAUGAGGAGGAGAAAACCACCAUCCACCUCCACUCCAUGCUCGGCAACAAGUACGUAUAUUGUUCUCUGUUGCUUCUGUUGUACUAUGUAUCUGUUGCUGCUGAUGAUUUGAGCUUUAAACAGGUGGUCGGCGAUUGCAACCCAUCUGCCAGGAAGGACAGGCAAUUUUAUCAAGAAUUACUGGAACACAAACCUGCGCAAGAAGCUGCUCCACAUGGGCAUCGACCCCAUCACGCACAACCCGCGCACCGACCUCAGCCAGCUUACAGGGCUCCCCAGUCUCCCCGCCACCGCCGCCGCCCCCAGUAA